AAACGAGCGAGUCAGUUUCGGUGCCCCCUCCCAGAGUGGUAGAUAUAACAGAGUGGCGACACUUCCAUUGGACUCCGUUGUAGCGCCUACUUCCAGGGUAUGGAGCCUUGAAUAGUUCCAAACAACCAUUUUACGGCGUAGGAGAUCAUUCAUUUCCAUUGCUGGCCGUUGAGUAACUUCUGAGACGACCGAUUGCCUGCUGGUUUGUGAGCUCGACUUCGCCAUGUGAAGGGUGAUGUUCAGCACAUGAAGCCCUACAGAUGCCGCCGCUUCAACAAUGCUGAUUAUGAUGGGCGGUGAAUUUAACCUGUAUGGCUUUUUCG